rnacentral:rRNA from 2 species
AAUCCAUAGGUUAAUGAGGCGAACCGGGGGAACUGAAACAUCUAAGUACCCCGAGGAAAAGAAAUCAACCGAGAUUCCCCCAGUAGCGGCGAGCGAACGGGGAGGAGCCCAGAGCCUGAAUCAGCAUGUGUGUUAGUGGAAGCGUCUGGAAAGGCGCGCGAUACAGGGUGACAGCCCCGUACACAAAAGCGCAUGUGCUGUGAGCUCGAUGAGUAGGGCGGGACACGUGGUAUCCUGUCUGAAUAUGGGGGGACCAUCCUCCAAGGCUAAAUACUCCUGACUGACCGAUAGUGAACCAGUACCGUGAGGGAAAGGCGAAAAGAACCCCGGCGAGGGGAGUGAAAAAGAACCUGAAACCGUGUACGUACAAGCAGUGGGAGCACAGGUUUACCUGUGUGACUGCGUACCUUUUGUAUAAUGGGUCAGCGACUUAUAUUCUGUAGCAAGGUUAACCGAAUAGGGGAGCCGGAGGGAAACCGAGUCUUAAUUGGGCGUUAAGUUGCAGGGUAUAGACCCGAAACCCGGUGAUCUAGCCAUGGGCAGGUUGAAGGUUGGGUAACACUAACUGGAGGACCGAACCGACUAAUGUUGAAAAAUUAGCGGAUGACCUGUGGCUGGGGGUGAAAGGCCAAUCAAACCGGGAGAUAGCUGGUUCUCCCCGAAAGCUAUUUAGGUAGCGCCUCGUGAAUUCAUCUCCGGGGGUAGAGCACUGUUUCGGCUAGGGGGCCAUCCCGGCUUACCAACCCGAUGCAAACUGCGAAUACCGGAGAAUGUUAUCACGGGAGACACACGGCGGGUGCUAACGUCCGUCGUGAAGAGGGAAACAACCCAGACCGCCAGCUAAGGUCCCAAAGUCAUGGUUAAGUGGGAAACGAUGUGGGAAGGCCCAGACAGCCAGGAUGUUGGCUUAGAAGCAGCCAUCAUUUAAAGAAAGCGUAAUAGCUCACUGGUCGAGUCGGCCUGCGCGGAAGAUGUAACGGGGCUAAACCAUGCACCGAAGCUGCGGCAGCGAACGUAUCACUUAAAGCGAUUCAGCGGGUUACGAUUGACGGAGCGAAGCGACGUCAAAGCGUAUACAAAGUCGAGUCGGUUUAAGGAUACGUUCGUUGGGUAGGGGAGCGUUCUGUAAGCCUGUGAAGGUGGCCUGUGAGGGUUGCUGGAGGUAUCAGAAGUGCGAAUGCUGACAUAAGUAACGAUAAAGCGGGUGAAAAGCCCGCUCGCCGGAAGACCAAGGGUUCCUGUCCAACGUUAAUCGGGGCAGGGUGAGUCGACCCCUAAGGCGAGGCCGAAAGGCGUAGUCGAUGGGAAACGGGUUAAUAUUCC